UACGUAGGGGGCAAGCGUUGUCCGGAAUCAUUGGGCGUAAAGCGCGUGUAGGCGGCUCGAUAAGUCUGCUGUGAAAGUCCAGGGCUCAACCCUGGGAUGCCGGUGGAUACUGUCGAGCUCGAGUCCGGAAGAGGCGAGUGGAAUUCCUGGUGUAGAGGUGAAAUUCGUAGAUAUCAGGAGGAACACCGGUGGCGAAGGCGGCCUUCUGGACGGUAACUGACGCUGAGACGCGAAAGCGUGGGGAGCAAACAGG
rnacentral:rRNA from 1 species